rnacentral:rRNA from 1 species
AUUGAACGCUGGCGGCAUGCCUUACACAUGCAAGUCGAACGGCAGCACGGGAGCAAUCCUGGUGGCGAGUGGCGAACGGGUGAGUAAUGUAUCGGAACGUACCUUUCAGUGGGGGAUAACGUAGCGAAAGUUACGCUAAUACCGCAUAUUCUGUGAGCAGGAAAGCAGGGGAUCGCAAGACCUUGCGCUGAUUGAGCGGCCGAUAUCAGAUUAGCUAGUUGGUGAGGUAAAGGCUCACCAAGGCGACGAUCUGUAGCGGGUCUGAGAGGAUGAUCCGCCACACUGGAACUGAGACACGGUCCAGACUCCUACGGGAGGCAGCA